GCAACCAGCACGUCAGCGCCGGCAUCUGGGCCCCGCCAUGGGCGGGGGGCGGCCCAGCCCUGGGGCCUCCCGGUGUCCCCCCGGUGUCCCCCCGGUGUCCCCCCGGUGUCCCCCCGGUGUCCCCCGGUGCGGCCGCCCCGCCGCUCCCGGAGCUGUCCGUGGUGCUGAUGGCCCCGACGGGGCGGGAGGCGCGCCCAGGACCUGCCGUGGGGGCGGCCGCAUGAUCCGCAUCCCACAUGACACGGAAAGGAGCUGGGCAGCGGCCACCCCUGAGAAACGUCAUUUUUUCCUCCGAUGCAAAAGAGGGGUGGAACACCCCGUCCUUCCCCUCCGGUGGCUUUGCGAACAGCCGGGCAGAGGCAGCUGCAGCCCUGGAGGUACCUCAUGGUUCCCAGUAUGACCGGGACCUUCCCAGACGUGGCUUCACCUGGGAUAACCAUCAGAGCAAAGAGGAGACCAGUGCCUCUGGGAUUAUGUUUUGGAGCAGGGGAGAGAGUGAGAAUUUCCAAGAGAUGGGCAGAGAAACCAGCCAGGCAUGAGAGUCACCACUGCUUAUCUCUCAACACCCACCAUGGCAAAACAGUCCUGAUAAUUCUAACAGGUAAUUUAGCAGGUUGUACUGACAGUGCAUCCUGCCACUCUGCCAGACACAGCAGCCCAAAUGCCCUGCCAACUGCUGGUGAAAGCAGAAUUUCUUCAGGGGGGAUGAUCCAUCCAAAGGAGGGUGAGGAAAGACAAGCAAGAGCCUUCUGAGAAAUCAGGAAUCAUCUGCCAGGUAAAGCCACUAAGAAAACAAAGAGGGAAGGCAACCAAGGAUGUAGGGGAAGGCAAGGCCACGCUAGGCAGCACCCACAGCCCUCCAGCAGAGGAGGGGACAAGGGGCAAUGUAUGACCUGCUGACAGUGCCCCCUCACAUAACGCAAACAGUAAAUACAGGCGCUAAAAAGCUAGAGGGGGAAAAAAAUCUUCUAUAACCACACCAAGAAAUUGUUGCUUCUUUUCUUCUUCCACAUCUGCACUGCAUUAUUGAAGGAGACAUGCAAAGCAGUACAAGGGGCAAGAUCCCAAAUUCAUCCUGUGUCUCUGCGCUUUCAGGCUUCACUCUGAGUAGAAAGACAAGGAGA
rnacentral:lncRNA from 1 species